rnacentral:lncRNA from 1 species
UCCUCAGUACAAGUCGACAGGGCCAACGUAUCAUUCCAUUGGCGGGGCCUAGACUAUAGUCACGCGGAUUUUAAAAAUCAAUAAAUCAACUUUCCAACUCAAGUCAUGAACAAACUCCCAAUAGUAAAGUACAUAACAGUUUAUAAAAUUAAAUAUUAAUUUCUAAUUCUAACACAUAAUGCCAAUAAUAAUUUAAUAGUUUAUGAAAUUAAAUGCUUAAUUCUAAUUCUAACAUAUAAUGCCAAUAAUAAAUCAUACAUCAACAUAUGCAUGAUACAUGUUAAAAUUCUACUUUAAAGCAAUAGGUCACCUACCUGGGUUCGCUUUAAAAUCCCUGCCACAGAUAUUACGAACCCCUGAUUAAACAUAAAUAUUAAUUAUUUAAUUAACUAAGAAACAUAAUUUAAACAAUUUUUCAAACUCUUAAACUCCUAAGUUCAUAGAUCCAAGAAUAGGCCCCUAAGAUCAAACAUAGACCCUAAAAUCAGAAUCCCUUAAACCCAAGUCAAUUGUGGCCCAAAACAGAUUAGGCCCAAUUGAACCAAACCGGAUAACAGGUCCAGAUCAGAUU